UUCUUCUUCUGUCUUGUUCUUUCACUUGAGACACGAACAGAGAGAGAGAUGAGAGAACAGAGACAGAGAGAGAGAGAUCCGGCAACGAGAGUGAGAUUCCGGGAGAGAAAGAGAGAGAGAUCAGGAGACAGAGAGAGAUUGACGAGAGAGAGAGAGGACCCGAUCAUUGGUGGGUCUGUGCAGUGAAGGCCGGAGGUGCGAUUUCCGGUGGAACCCAGGCCCAUUUUUGGCCAGCUGUAGAGGACCCGUAGCAGACCCAUGCUGAAACAGUACCGGUUUCCGGUGGGUUCGAUGGUGGGAUGAUUUUCCGGCGACCCUAGUUCGUCUUCCGGGGAGCAGGGGCGCGUUUCCAUGGGUCAUCGCCCGUGAUGGUCCCUGUAGCGAUUUUCAGCGGCUCUGGCCAGAAAUCUGGCGAUUUUCCGGUGGUUUUUCCUUUGCUUUAAACAGAAAUUCGCUAGAUAACACAGUAAGACGGAGUCAUUUCUUUGUAAUGGCGUAGACCUCGCUAAAAGCAAUAGUUCAUUGUAGAUCGACCAAACCUUUACUUUGUAUAGUAUGUUUCUUAUUGGAAUUCAUGGCGUUGUAAAGACUUAUUAUCAGACUGGAAUAAUAUAUUAAGAAGUUACAAUCUA